AUGGAUAAUAACGUAAUUUACUUUAUUUAGGGCGUUGUUUAAUUCGAAAAGUAGGGCGUCAAAUAGGGAUUCAGUUUAACAACUACAGUUUAGCAACACAAUAAAAUAGCUCGAUUGAGUAUGCCUCUCAACACGAUGGUCACUGCCUGACCUUCUCGGAUUGUCAGGGGUCGGGUAAUAAAAAAUUAAGCGAAUCUUUGGUAGUGCCGCGAUCAUUACUUCGUGUGAAUCAAAAGCCUGCGAUUCAAUUUAUCCCCGGAAAAGAAAUGUUCGAGCCGAUUGGCUGGUGAAGGAGUUUAUCCAUAAUAGACUACCACCUGAGCGGAUCCAAAGGGCUAAUGCAAUCCCUUGUCUUCUGUAAUCUUUGCUUUCGUUAUAGUCGGAUUAUGAAGCUUAAUCAUAGAUUUUAAAUUUUUCUUUUUUUCUAUGUUAUUAUAUUUUGCAGUGUUGUUAUGAUCGGAUCGGUCGGUAAAAAGUAUUUAUUAGGUUGGUUAAUAUCAAUGAAUUGAACUAUUAAAACCUUUAAAGCAUGUUUUAUUAUUGAUGGAGGUUUUCGGAGAUUCAUUGAUUUAACUUAAAGUGAAAAGAAUUGCUUUUUUUAUAGUUUA
rnacentral:lncRNA from 1 species